rnacentral:rRNA from 1 species
AUACGGAGGAUGCGAGCGUUAUCCGGAUUUAUUGGGUUUAAAGGGUGCGUAGGCGGAAAGUUAAGUCAGCGGUGAAACGCAGGUGCUCAACACCUGACCUGCCGUUGAGACUGGUUUUCUAGAAUGCGGAUGCUGUGGGAGGAAUGUGUGGUGUAGCGGUGAAAUGCAUAGAUAUCACACAGAACACCGAUUGCGAAGGCAUCUCAGAAAUACGCGAUUGACGCUGAGGCACGAAGGUGCGGGGAUCGAACAGGAUUAGAUACACGUGUAGUCCUCAGAGUAAACGAUGAUAACUCGCUGUCGGCGAUAGACAGUCGGUGGCCAAGCGAAAGCGAUAAGUUAUCCCCCUGGGGAGUACGGCCUCAAGGUUGAAACUCAAAUGAAUUGACGGGU